UACGGGGGGAGCAAGCGUUGUUCGGAUUUACUGGGCGUAAAGGGCGGGUAGGCGGCCACCGCAAGUCAGUUGUGAAAUCUCUGGGCUUAACCCAGAAAGGUCAACUGAUACUGCGGGGCUAGAGUGCAGAAGGGGCAACUGGAAUUCUCGGGUGUAGCGGUGAAAUGCGUAGAUAUCGAGAGGAACACCUGCGGCGAAGGCGGGUUGCUGGGCUGACACUGACGCUGAACUGCGAAAGCUAGGGGAGCGAACGGG
rnacentral:rRNA from 1 species